ensembl:snRNA U6 U6 spliceosomal RNA
GAGCUCACUCCAGCAGCACAUAUAUUAAAACUGGAAUGAUACAGAGAAGAUUAGCAUGGCCCCUGUGCAACCAUGACACACAAAUAUCUGAAAUAUUCCAUAUUUUU